rnacentral:rRNA from 1 species
GACGAACGCUGGCGGCGUGCUUAACACAUGCAAGUCGAACGAAGAGCGAUGGAAGCUUGCUUCUAUCAAUCUUAGUGGCGAACGGGUGAGUAACGCGUAAUCAACCUGCCCUUCAGAGGGGGACAACAGUUGGAAACGACUGCUAAUACCGCAUACGAUCUAAUCUCGGCAUCGAGGAUAGAUGAAAGGUGGCCUCUAUUUAUAAGCUAUCACUGAAGGAGGGGAUUGCGUCUGAUUAGCUAGUUGGAGGGGUAACGGCCCACCAAGGCGAUGAUCAGUAGCCGGUCUGAGAGGAUGAACGGCCACAUUGGGACUGAGACACGGCCCAGACUCCUACGGGAGGCAGCAGUGGGGAAUCUUCCGCAAUGGACGAAAGUCUGACGGAGCAACGCCGCGUGAGUGAUGACGGCCUUCGGGUUGUAAAGCUCUGUUAAUCGGGACGAAAGGCCUUCUUGCGAAUAGUUAGAAG